rnacentral:rRNA from 1 species
CCUACGUGUGGCUGCAGUGGGGAAUAUUGCACAAUGGAGGAAACCCUGAUGCAGCGACGCCGCGUGCGUGAAGACGUAAUUCGUUAUGGAAAGCUCUAUCAGCAGGGAAGAAAAUGACGGUACCUGAGUAUGAAGCCCCGUCUAACUACGUGCCAGCAGCCGCGGUAAUACGUAGGCUGCCAGCGUUAUCCGGAUUUAUUGGGUGUAAAGGGGGCGUAGGCGGCAGUGCAGGUGUGGAGUGAAAGGCGGGGGCUCAACCCCCGGACUGCCGCGGAAACUGUACGGCUGGAGAGCAGGCGAGGUAGGCGGAAUGCAUGGGGUAGCGGUGAAAUGCGUAGAUAUUAGACGGAACACCAGUUGCGAAGGCAGCUUACUGGACUGUAACUGACGUUGAGGCUCGAAAGCGUGGGGAGCAAACAGGAUUAGAUACCCCAGUAGUC